rnacentral:rRNA from 1 species
ACGCUGGCGGCAUGCUUUACACAUGCAAGUCGGACGGCAGCACAGAGAAGCUUGCCUCUUGGGUGGCGAGUGGCGAACGGGUGAGUAACAUAUCGGAACGUACCGAGUAGUGGGGGAUAACUGAUCGAAAGAUCAGCUAAUACCGCAUACGUCUUGAGAGGGAAAGCAGGGGACCUUCGGGCCUUGCGCUAUUCGAGCGGCCGAUAUCUGAUUAGCUAGUUGGUGGGGUAAAGGCCUACCAAGGCGACGAUCAGUAGCGGGUCUGAGAGGAUGAUCCGCCACACUGGGACUGAGACACGGCCCAGACUCCUACGGGAGGCAGCAGUGGGGAAUUUUGGACAAUGGGCGCAAGCCUGAUCCAGCCAUGCCGCGUGUCUGAAGAAGGCCUUCGGGUUGUAAAGGACUUUUGUCAGGGAAGAAAAGGCUGUUGCUAAUAUCAGCGGCUGAUGACGGUACCUGAAGAAUAAGCUCCGGCUAACUACGUGCCAGCAGCCGCGGUAAUACGUAGGGUGCGAGCGUUAAUCGGAAUUACUGGGCGUAAAGCGAGCGCAGACGGUUACUUAAGCAGGAUGUGAAAUCCCCGGGCUCAACCUGGGAACUGCGUUCUGAACUGGGUGACUAGAGUGUGUCAGAGGGAGGUAGAAUUCCACGUGUAGCAGUGAAAUGCGUAGAGAUGUGGAGGAAUACCGAUGGCGAAGGCAGCCUCCUGGGAUAACACUGACGUUCAUGCUCGAAAGCGUGGGUAGCAAACAGGAUUAGAUACCCUGGUAGUCCACGCCCUAAACGAUGUCAAUUAGCUGUUGGGCAACUUGAUUGUUCAGUAGCGUAGCUAACGCGUGAAAUUGACCGCCUGGGGAGUACGGUCGCAAGAUUAAAACUCAAAGGAAUUGACGGGGACCCGCACAAGCGGUGGAUGAUGU